GUUCGCUACCGCAUAGGUAGCUCAGAAA
rnacentral:other from 1 species